GUCAACGGCCAUACCACGUAGAACUCACCCGGUCUCGUCAGCUCCCGGAAGUUAAAGCUACGUCGGGUCCCGUUAGUACUUGGAUGGGUGACCGCUUGGGAAUACGGGAUGCUGUUGGCA
rnacentral:rRNA from 1 species